AUACGGAGGGUGCAAGCGUUACUCGGAAUCACUGGGCGUAAAGCGCGCGCAGGCGGCUAUUUAAGUUGGAUGUGAAAGCCUACGGCCCAACCGUAGAACUGCAUCCAAAACUAUUUAGCUAGAGUGUGGGAGAGGAAGAUGGAAUUAGUUGUGUAGGGGUAAAAUCCGUAGAGAUAACUAGGAAUACCAAAAGCGAGGGCAAUCUUCUGGAACACUACUGACGCUGAGGCGCGAAAGCGUGGGGAGCAAACAGGAUUAGAAACCCUAGUAGUCC
rnacentral:rRNA from 1 species